rnacentral:lncRNA from 1 species
CCGAGCCAGGCGGGCAGCCCAUCGAACGCUCACUCUUUCCUUUCCAGGAACAGAGCCUCGUGUGGGCUGCUGGGUCUGGACUGGGGAUGCUUCUGCUGGAAAGAGGGCCAGGGAGGAGGGCCAGACACGGACCUGACAGGUCAACACGCGCACGUCCAGGACAAAGGGGGUUUUGGAACAAGUAACAUCCGGCGAACAGGUGUUCCCAAGGAAGGUGCCUGGAAUCACCCCCUCCCUCAGUGAGCCACGGCUGCCACGUGGGGCCGUCCAGAGAGGUCAGGGCGCCGCUGAGCACUAUUCACAGUCCCCCAGCAACGCCCACCAGCAGAGGCCGUGUUGUCAGGAUCCCGGUCAGCCGAACGCAGGACCCACAGCCCCCAAGCCACAGGCCCGGCCACAGCCUCUCGAUAACUUGCUCCCCGAGGUCGACCUGCAACCACUGAAUUCAGUUUUACCCAAGUCCCCAGAGGCACGUAUGCGGCCUCCUCGUCGUCCACGUUGCCAGCCCCAGGCCCGUCACAGGCCCCGGAAGCGACGCGGAGCGGUGGCAACGGGGCACGUGGAGAGGGAAACGAGCCGACGAGCCAGGGAAGAGACGAACGGCCAUCUGAAGGGACAGGAGAGGGGACAGGAGAGGGACCACGAGACGGCGGAACGGGACACAGCUGACACUG